GGGAUAUUGCACAAUGGGCGAAAGCCUGAUGCAGCAACGCCGCGUGAGGGAAGACGGUUUUCGGAUUGUAAACCUCUGUCUUUGGUGACGAAGAAAUGACGGUAGCCGAGGAGGAAGCCACGGCUAACUACGUGCCAGCAGCCGCGGUCAUACGUAGGUGGCAAGCGUUGUCCGGAAUUACUGGGUGUAAAGGGAGCGCAGGCGGGAAGGCAAGUCAGCGGUGAAAUACAUGGGCUUAACCCAUGAACUGCCGUUGAAACUGUUUUUCUUGAGUGGAGUAGAGGCAGGCGGAAUUCCGAGUGUAGCGGUGAAAUGCGUAGAUAUUCGGAGGAACACCAGUGGCGAAGGCGGCCUGCUGGGCUCUAACUGACGCUGAGGCUCGAAAGUGUGGGGAGCAAACA
rnacentral:rRNA from 1 species